rnacentral:rRNA from 1 species
GACGAACGCUGGCGGCGUGCUUAACACAUGCAAGUCGAACGGAAAGGCCCUUCGGGGUACUCGAGUGGCGAACGGGUGAGUAACACGUGGGUGAUCUGCCCUGCACUUUGGGAUAAGCCUGGGAAACUGGGUCUAAUACCGAAUAGGACCACGCGCUUCAUGGUGUGUGGUGGAAAGCUUUUGCGGUGUGGGAUGGGCCCGCGGCCUAUCAGCUUGUUGGUGGGGUAAUGGCCUACCAAGGCGACGACGGGUAGCCGGCCUGAGAGGGUGACCGGCCACACUGGGACUGAGAUACGGCCCAGACUCCUACGGGAGGCAGCAGUGGGGAAUAUUGCACAAUGGGCGCAAGCCUGAUGCAGCGACGCCGCGUGAGGGAUGACGGCCUUCGGGUUGUAAACCCCUUUCAAUAGGGACGAAGCGCAAGUGACGGUACCUAUAGAAGAAGCACCGGCCAACUACGUG